rnacentral:rRNA from 1 species
CAGUCGAACGGAUCUGUAUUGAAACCUAGUGAUAUACAGGUUAGUGGCGGACGGGUGAGUAACGCGUGGAUAACCUACCGUAUACCGGGGGAUAACACUUAGAAAUAGGUGCUAAUACCGCAUAAGCGCACGGCUCCGCAUGGGGCAGUGUGAAAAACUCCGGUGGUAUACGAUGGAUCCGCGUCUGAUUAGCUAGUUGGCGGGGUAACGGCCCACCAAGGCAGCGAUCAGUAGCCGGCCUGAGAGGGUGGACGGCCACAUUGGGACUGAGACACGGCCCAAACUCCUACGGGAGGCAGCAGUGGGGAAUAUUGCACAAUGGGGGAAACCCUGAUGCAGCGACGCCGCGUGAGUGAAGAAGUAUCUCGGUACGUAAAGCUCUAUCAGCAGGGAAGAAAAUGACGGUACCUGACUAAGAAGCCCCGGCUAACUACGUGCCAGCAGCCGCGGUAAUACGUAGGGGGCAAGCGUUAUCCGGAUUUACUGGGUGUAAAGGGAGCGUAGACGGCAGCACAAGUCUGGAGUGAAAUCCCGGGGCUUAACCCCGGAACUGCUUUGGAAACUGUGCGGCUGGAGUGCAGGAGGGGUAAGCGGAAUUCCUAGUGUAGCGGUGAAAUGCGUAGAUAUUAGGAGGAACACCGGUGGCGAAGGCGGCUUACUGGACUGUAACUGACGUUGAGGCUCGAAAGCGUGGGGAGCAAACAGGAUUAGAUACCCUGGUAGUCCACGCCGUAAACGAUGAUUACUAGGUGUCGGGGGAUCA